CACGUAGGGUGCGAGCGUUGUCCGGAAUUAUUGGGCGUAAAGAGCUCGUAGGCGGCGUGUCGCGUCGGCCGUGAAAACCUGCAGCUUAACUGUGGGCUUGCGGUCGAUACGGGCAUCACUGGAGUUCGGCAGGGGAGACUGGAAUUCCUGGUGUAGCGGUGAAAUGCGCAGAUAUCAGGAGGAACACCGGUGGCGAAGGCGGGUCGCUGGGCCGAUACUGACGCUGAGGAGCGAAAGCGUGGGGAGCGAACAGG
rnacentral:rRNA from 1 species